AAGUAAAAAAAUUUUAUGCAUAUUAUUAAUCAAAAAUAGAAUUACCAAUUAUAUAUAUAUACAUACAUACAUACGCACAUACACACUUCUAACACACACACACACACAUACAUACAUGCAUACAUAUAUGCAUGCAUGCAUAUACAUACAUACAUAUAUAUAAUUAUAUAUAUAUAUAUAUAUAUAUAGAGAGAGAGAGAGA
rnacentral:lncRNA from 1 species